AAAAAAGUCCUCCUCCUCAGAAAUGCCAGCUGAUCCAAAAGAAAAUCCAGUCUAUUCUGAGGUCAAGAUGGGGAAGACCACAGAAACUGCAAAUCCACCUGAGGCAGAUUUGGUCUAUUCUCAAGUGAAGCCAGGCACAUCCCCAGGUCCUUGAGGGAUGGAGGGAUAGCGGGAUGGCAGGGCGCACGCACGCACGCACACAUGCACGCACGCACGCACAAUAACACCUUGUACAUUAAGGAUUUUUUUCUUAUUUUAUUUAUCAACAUAUAUAUUGGAUUUAAGCAUGGUUUGAUUGUGUAUUACUGUAACAGCUUUUGUAUUGUAUGGUGUAAUGAUAACGGAUCUUAUCUGCAGCUACAGUAAUUGUAUCUGCUUUGUAUUGUGUAUUGAAUUGUAUUGUUCUGUUGUAAAUGUAUUACAAUAGAUUAUCUUUGAUUUAUUAUGUCUGUUA